UACAGAGGGUGCAAGCGUUGCUCGGAAUCAUUGGGCGUAAAGGGUAGGUAGGUGGUCUCAUUUGUCUAGGGUGAAAUCCUUGAGCUUAACUCAAGAAGUGCCCUGGAAACGGUGAGACUAGAGUCCUGGAGAGGGUCGUGGAAUUCCCGGUGUAGCGGUGAAAUGCGUAGAGAUCGGGAGGAACACCAGAGGCGAAGGCGGCGACCUGGACAGGUACUGACACUGAACUACGAAAGCGUGGGGAGCAAACAGG
rnacentral:rRNA from 1 species